CGUUGACACACCAGUUCUCGUACGAUUACUGAAGUUAAGCAACGUCGACCCUGGUCAGUACCUAGAUGGGUGACCGCCUAGGAAUAGCAGGUGUUGUAAG